rnacentral:rRNA from 1 species
GGGUGGUAAUGCCGGAUGCUCCAGUUGAUCGCAUGGUCUUCUGGGAAAGCUUUCGCGGUAUGGGAUGGGGUCGCGUCCUAUCAGCUUGACGGCGGGGUAACGGCCCACCGUGGCUUCGACGGGUAGCCGGCCUGAGAGGGCGACCGGCCACAUUGGGACUGAGAUACGGCCCAGACUCCUACGGGAGGCAGCAGUGGGGAAUAUUGCACAAUGGGCGCAAGCCUGAUGCAGCGACGCCGCGUGAGGGAUGGAGGCCUUCGGGUUGUAAACCUCUUUUAUCGGGGAGCAAGCGAGAGUGAGUUUACCCGUUGAAUAAGCACCGGCUAACUACGUGCCAGCAGCCGCGGUAAUACGUAGGGUGCAAGCGUUAUCCGGAAUUAUUGGGCGUAAAGGGCUCGUAGGCGGUUCGUCGCGUCCGGUGUGAAAGUCCAUCGCUUAACGGUGGAUCCGCGCCGGGUACGGGCGGGCUUGAGUGCGGUAGGGGAGACUGGAAUUCCCGGUGUAACGGUGGAAUGUGUAGAUAUCGGAAAAAAAACA